rnacentral:rRNA from 1 species
UGCCAGCCGCCGCGGUAAUACGAAGGGUGCUAGCGUUGUUCGGAAUUACUGGGCGUAAAGAGCAUGUAGGCGGCAUGACAAGUCUGGUGUGAAAUAUCUCGGCUCAACCGAGAAAACGCACUGGAAACUGUCAAGCUUGAGUAUCGGAGGGGAAGCUAGAAUUCCUGGUGUAGGGGUGAAAUCUGUAGAUAUCAGGAAGAAUACCGGUGGCGAGGGCGAGCUUCUGGCCAGAUACUGACGCUGAGAUGCGAAAGCGUGGGGAGCGAACAGGAUUAGAUA